AUGGGCGAAAGCUGAUGCAGCCAUGCCGCGUGUAUGAAGAAGGCCUUCGGGUUGUAAAGUACUUUCAGUUGUGAGGAAGGGGGUGUCGUUAAUAGCGGCAUCUCUUGACGUUAGCAACAGAAGAAGCACCGGCUAACUCCGUGCCAGCAGCCGCGGUAAUACGGAGGGUGCGAGCGUUAAUCGGAAUUACUGGGCGUAAAGCGCAUGCAGGUGGUUCAUUAAGUCAGAUGUGAAAGCCCGGGGCUCAACCUCGGAACUGCAUUUGAAACUGGUGAACUAGAGUACUGUAGAGGGGGGUAGAAUUUCAGGUGUAGCGGUGAAAUGCGUAGAGAUCUGAAGGAAUACCAGUGGCGAAGGCGGCCCCCUGGACAGAUACUGACACUCAGAUGCGAAAGCGUGGGGAGCAAACAGGAUUAGAUACCCUGGUAGUCCACGCCGUAAACGAUGUCUACUUGGAGGUUGUGGCCUUGAGCCGUGGCUUUCGGAGCUAACGCGUUAAGUAGACCGCCUGGGGAGUACGGUCGCAAGAUUAAAACUCAAAUGAAUUGACGGGGGCCCGCACAAGCGGUGGAGCAUGUGGUUUAAUUCGAUGCAACGCGAAGAACCUUACCUACUCUUGACAUCCAGAGAAGCCAGC
rnacentral:rRNA from 1 species